rnacentral:rRNA from 1 species
UACGGGGGGGGCAAGCGUUGUUCGGAAUUACUGGGCGUAAAGGGCUCGUAGGUGGCCCCAUAAGUCAGACGUGAAAUCCCCCGGCUUAACCUGGGAACUGCGUCUGAUACUGGAAGGCUUGAGGAUGGGAGAGGGAUGUAGAAUUCCAGGUGUAGCGGUGAAAUGCGUAGAUAUCUGGAGGAAUACCGGUGGCGAAGGCGGCAUCCUGGACCAUUACUGACGCUGAGGCGCGAAAGCUAGGGGAGCAAACGGG